GGAGCGGUGGCCGAGUGGUCGAUGGCGCACGCCUGGAAAGUGUGUAAGGGUUAAUAGCCCUUCGAGGGUUCGAAUCCCUCCCGCUCCGCCA
rnacentral:tRNA from 1 species